UACGAAGGGGGCUAGCGUUGCUCGGAAUCACUGGGCGUAAAGCGCACGUAGGCGGAUUGCUAAGUCAGGGGUGAAAUCCUGGAGCUCAACUCCAGAACUGCCUUUGAUACUGGCGAUCUUGAGUCCGGGAGAGGUGAGUGGAACUGCGAGUGUAGAGGUGAAAUUCGUAGAUAUUCGCAAGAACACCAGUGGCGAAGGCGGCGCUCUGGGCCGGUACUGACACUGAGGCGCGAAAGCGUGGGGAGCAAACAGG
rnacentral:rRNA from 1 species